ACACAAUCGCAGGACUGACGGAUUUCAACCGCAAACGCUGCACAAGGACCCAAAACAACAACAAAAAGUCAUCACCUUGUCACCUUGGUGACGUUCUGCCCAUAACAAACUCUCAUCUGCGUGGGAUCAAGUCCUCCUGAAACACCUGGCCUGCGCGGCCUGCAGGCGCGUGCUGAUAUCAGGUUCACUUUAUUCAGGCAGGUCGGACCAGACUGGCAGGUAGCUGCACUGAAGUCCUGACUGAAGACUAUUAGACAGUUGCUGCUGCCGCGCUGUCUCUCUGAAGAUGGACAGCUCGUCUAAAGCCUGCAGCGUCUCACCGGCCUGUUGGAAGAGCCAAAGACAGACAGGCAAUCUAAAGUCAAAGCUCCCUGUUUAUUUGCUCAUCGAUGGACAAGAAGGCAACUGUCAAGACCCCGUGUGAUUGACUCCAAAUGUCAAAGCAAGCACAAAAGAUGGACGUCAUCUGUGCAAAAGGAGUGGUGGGGGGGUUGUGGCACAUGUUAAUCUAGUUUGGGUGUGAUGUUAGAAUAAGUGAAUAAGUGUUGCUGGAUGUUCAUGUAAAAUACUUUUGCAAGGUCAACUAGCUCACCUCCCCACCACCCCCAAAACAAGCAUCUGUUGAUCAAGUCUGUCGAAUGCAGUAACGGAGAAGAAGCUCCGCCUCCUUAGAUGUAAUAUCACAUAGGAUGCUGCACAGGUUUUGAUACAAGAAAGCUGCUGGCACAACAAAAUAUCUCACUAGACUACACGAGCCUCAUUGUGUGUGCGCGCGCGCACAGAUCACAGGCGGUUCCUCCCCGAAGAACCUCAAGCGAUACGCCGUAACCCCACCAGAAACGUGAUUAUACCAUCUGAAAUCCUUUUGGUUUCAAGUAUAAGUUUCUCACCAACAGCACGAUUCUCGGACUCAUCGAGGCCAUUAACUUCCCUAGUUUCCAUAACAACCACGACAUAUUGUUUAUACACUGCACUGGGAUCAAGAGAGGGAGUUGAAGAUGUAUUUCUUGUUUCAUUGCUUUGUUUGCCUCAGCAUGCUAUCAUCAUUAAAAAUGCAGAUUGGAUGGUGUGCCUGGGACUCGAGUCUCCACCUCCAGUUUGUCCUUUCAGGCCAUCUGUCGACGUCAACACUGGACUAUAUAUCGAUGCUGAGCUGAAAUAUUUCUAUCAAUGUAUGGUCAAACAAUUCUGCAUCGUUGUGUUUAAUUUUGUUGGUAUGGAUAAAGCAGAUGGUCAACCCACCAAGCCUGGUCUGCUUGAGGUUUCCGCCUAUAAUCGAAAAACACCUCAAGAGUUCCAGACCACUUUCACCAGCGAGCUUGCGCAGAGGGUGGGCAAAAAUGUGCAGCACUCAUCCCUGUUUCUACUAUGGUCACAAAAAAUUGCAACUAGACACACAUAUACACACACACAAAAAAUACAUAGGGAGGAUGUGGUUGAAUUAAGACAUAGUAAUAAGAAGUUAAUAACCAUGUACGACUGCAUCAAUGUAUUUAUGAUGUAAUUAAACCUAGACAAAAUAUGGAUUAGAAAAUGCAUACUUUUCCAUUAUGACUACGUCCCCUCUGCGUUUAAAAUUUUCAGGAUACAGCGCGGCCUUCACUGUCGUCAUGUGUUGGGCCCCGAAGGUUCCUUGUGGCGACUUUUGUUGUAAUUUCACGUCGUAUAAAUUGACUGAACAGAAAACGGAUUGUAUCCUCACUAACGGACCUCAGUGAAACUGUGAAAUGCGAGGAUAACAGUCAGAAAGACUGAAAGAAACAGCGCCACCUAAAGAGACGAGCCUGUAUCCUGACUGUGUUGUCAUUAACUGCAUAGCUUUUCUACUGUUCUAGCAGUUGCUUUGUCGAAUUUUCAAAUUUGCAUUCGUCUCAUCAGAAAGGUUACUAUUAAGAUUUUUAAACACCCAACAUUGUUAGUCUACCUCUGGUGUAUGGCUCUAUGAAUUACCAUGUAUGUAAAAAAA